UGAUAGAAAUCGGCGUAAAAAGUGGUUAAUGAAAAUACUUACUAAGGUCAAACAUCUUCAAUACUGUUAUACGUACCCGAAGACAGGAAGAACUACCACGAAAGUGACCUUAACCCCCGUGAACCCACGAAAGCUAGGACA
rnacentral:rRNA from 1 species